rnacentral:rRNA from 1 species
UACGAAGGGGACUAGCGUUGUUCGGAAUUACUGGGCGUAAAGCGCACGUAGGCGGAUUGCUAAGUCAGGGGUGAAAUCCCGGGGCUCAACCUCGGAACUGCCCUUGAUACUGACAAUCUCGAGUCCGAUAGAGGUGGGUGGAAUUCCUAGUGUAGAGGUGAAAUUCGUAGAUAUUAGGAAGAACACCGGUGGCGAAGGCGGCCCACUGGAUCGGUACUGACGCUGAGGUGCGAAAGCGUGGGGAGCAAACAGG